AUAGCGUAUAUUAAAGUUGUUGCAGUUAAAAAGCUCGUAGUUGAACUUCAGAUUUGGUCGGGUGGUCCGCUUAACGGCGUGUUACUGCUUGGCUGGGUCUUGUCUCUUGGUGAACCAUUGUGCCCUUUAUUGGUGUGCUUUGGGGAACCAGGACUUUUACCUUGAGAAAAUUAGAGUGUUCAAAGCAGGCCUAUGCCUGGAUACAUUAGCAUGGAAUAAUAAAAUAGGACGUGCGGUUCUAUUUUGUUGGUUUCUAGAGUCGUCGUAAUGAUUAAUAGGGAUAGUUGGGGGCAUUAGUAUUCAGUUGCUAGAGGUGAAAUUCUUGGAUUUACUGAAGACUAACUACUG
rnacentral:rRNA from 1 species